rnacentral:rRNA from 1 species
UUGAAGAGUUUGAUCAUGGCUCAGAUUGAACGCUGGCGGCAGGCCUAACACAUGCAAGUCGAGCGGUAGCACAGAGAGCUUGCUCUCGGGUGACGAGCGGCGGACGGGUGAGUAAUGUCUGGGAAACUGCCUGAUGGAGGGGGAUAACUACUGGAAACGGUAGCUAAUACCGCAUAACGUCGCAAGACCAAAGUGGGGGACCUUCGGGCCUCAUGCCAUCAGAUGUGCCCAGAUGGGAUUAGCUAGUAGGUGGGGUAACGGCUCACCUAGGCGACGAUCCCUAGCUGGUCUGAGAGGAUGACCAGCCACACUGGAACUGAGACACGGUCCAGACUCCUACGGGAGGCAGCAGUGGGGAAUAUUGCACAAUGGGCGCAAGCCUGAUGCAGCCAUGCCGCGUGUAUGAAGAAGGCCUUCGGGUUGUAAAGUACUUUCAGCGGGGAGGAAGGCGUUAAGGUUAAUAACCUUGGCGAUUGACGUUACCCGCAGAAGAAGCACCGGCUAACUCCGUGCCAGCAGCCGCGGUAAUACGGAGGGUGCAAGCGUUAAUCGGAAUUACUGGGCGUAAAGCGCACGCAGGCGGUCUGUCAAGUCGGAUGUGAAAUCCCCGGGCUCAACCUGGGAACUGCAUUCGAAACUGGCAGGCUAGAGUCUUGUAGAGGGGGGUAGAAUUCCAGGUGUAGCGGUGAAAUGCGUAGAGAUCUGGAGGAAUACCGGUGGCGAAGGCGGCCCCCUGGACAAAGACUGACGCUCAGGUGCGAAAGCGUGGGGAGCAAACAGGAUUAGAUACCCUGGUAGUCCACGCCGUAAACGAUGUCGAUUUGGAGGUUGUGCCCUUGAGGCGUGGCUUCCGGAGCUAACGCGUUAAAUCGACCGCCUGGGGAGUACGGCCGCAAGGUUAAAACUCAAAUGAAUUGACGGGGGCCCGCACAAGCGGUGGAGCAUGUGGUUUAAUUCGAUGCAACGCGAAGAACCUUACCUGGUCUUGACAUCCACAGAACUUUCCAGAGAUGGAUUGGUGCCUUCGGGAACUGUGAGACAGGUGCUGCAUGGCUGUCGUCAGCUCGUGUUGUGAAAUGUUGGGUUAAGUCCCGCAACGAGCGCAACCCUUAUCCUUUGUUGCCAGCGGUUAGGCCGGGAACUCAAAGGAGACUGCCAGUGAUAAACUGGAGGAAGGUGGGGAUGACGUCAAGUCAUCAUGGCCCUUACGACCAGGGCUACACACGUGCUACAAUGGCAUAUACAAAGAGAAGCGACCUCGCGAGAGCAAGCGGACCUCAUAAAGUAUGUCGUAGUCCGGAUUGGAGUCUGCAACUCGACUCCAUGAAGUCGGAAUCGCUAGUAAUCGUAGAUCAGAAUGCUACGGUGAAUACGUUCCCGGGCCUUGUACACACCGCCCGUCACACCAUGGGAGUGGGUUGCAAAAGAAGUAGGUAGCUUAACCUUCGGGAGGGCGCUUACCACUUUGUGAUUCAUGACUGGGGUGAAGUCGUAACAAGGUAACCGUAGGGGAACCUGCGGUUGGAUCACCUCCUU